rnacentral:sRNA from 1 species
CGCCAGCCCCGAUUGCAGCGGCAUCCUUUUUUUGUAUUGGGGCGGCGGCAAAGCCGCCGCCCCAAUACAAAAAAGAUACAGCGGAAAGCGGGAUAAAGC